CUACGGGAUGCACCAGCUAGGAAAACUUUACAAUGCACGAAAGUGUGAUAAGGGGAUUCUGAGUGCUCAAGCAUUGCUUGGGCUUUUGCCAAGAGUAAAAAUCUUGGCGAAUAAGUGGUGGGCAAGACUGGUGCCAGCCGCCGCGGUAACACCAGCGCCACAAGUGGGAACCGUUAUUAUUGGGUCUAAAGCAUCCGUAGCCUGUCUAGUAAAUCUCCUGUGAAAUCGGCCAGCUUAACUGGUCAGCGUGCAGGAAAGACUGCUAGACUAGAGACCAGGAGAGGUUAAAGGUAUUCUGUGGGGAGCGGUAAAAUGCUAUAAUCCACAGAGGACCACCGAUGGCGAAGGCAUUUGACCAGAAUGGAUCUGACGGUGAGGGAUGAAAGCCAGGGGAGCGAUCCGGAUUAGAUACCCUGGUAGUC
rnacentral:rRNA from 1 species